rnacentral:tRNA from 1 species
GCGCUCGUAAUCCAGUGGUUAGGAUUCAAGCUUCCCAAGCUUGCUACCCGGGUUCGAAUCCCGGCGGGCGCA